UGUCGCCUCCUCUGACAAAGCAUUCGCAUCCUGUCAUGUGUGCUUUGCUUCACUUUGCGACGCCUUGCAAAGACGCUGUUACUUCUACGUUCAGCCCUGCGAUGGCUUCGCGUUCUCUGAUCCUCGACCGCCCUGGUUGGCCAGGGCUGCCCACAUGGAUAUUCUUGUCUGGCUCUGCGCCUUGGAGUCCGGAAAUCACUCAAACCAUGUUGUAAGACUUCAAUAGCUUCAACACCUAGGGUUGAAUCCUAUCAAAAGAAAAAUCUCGGUCUUCGGGGCGGAUGCUUCAGCCUGGGACAUCAAACUAAGUGAGAUAUGCUUCGAGAUCUAUUGCACGUAUUCCACAUCAAAUUCUGCAGGCUUACCUUUUGCCAGCAGCACUGCAUUUCUAACCGACAUUUCUCACAUGGAAAGCCUGAGCAGGGCUUGCCUUCUUUGGAACCGCUGUUGGUUGUGGAGCUCGCAGCAUUCCUCAUGGCCACUUUCUACUGUUUCUCUGUGCGAAAACUGGGCAAGGUGAAGAAAGUUCUGAGCUAACAUAGCCCGUUGAAGUCCUACAGCUUUAGUGGGCUUCAAGGCUGUAUGGUCAUGGCGAAAAUCUACAACUGCUUCGAAUGAGGAGGUCGACGGAAAUUUAGACAAUCAGCCUUGUAGGCUUGGCAUCGUUGAGGCUGUCCAAAGAUUUUGUGGAGGCGGUAAGCAACGGCAGAAAUCCUUUGAAGCUAAUUUGAAGACCAUUGCCAAGAUGCGGCAUGUACUCAUCUAUAAUGUGCAUUACUGUUAUUGAAAGGAUUUAAUUGCUGCAGAAUUCAAUUCCUUGGAUGAGGGUCCCCUCUUACAAGGUCUGUUGUAGAGCGACUUUCUCGUAAGUAUCCGAUAUGGUGUCAAGUAAAAUUCAAAUGCUUUAGGUUGGA